GUUUAUAAAAUCCAAAGGAAUAGAUGAUGAGCAUGUUCACUUGAAUAGAAUUGUUUUAACUGGGGUGUAGGUACACUCUGUUCAAUUAUAAUAACUAGCCAUAAUAAGGUCUCCUUUUCUUCCUUAAAGCGCGUACUUGCUUUGUAAGUGAUCUGAAGCGAGGACUAAAAAUCCAAGCAGCAAAAUUUAAUAUUGAUGGGAAUAAUGAGGUAAGUUUAAAAAAAAAAAAAAGGCAUCUUUUUGCAAAGGUUACAACAUGUGUGGACUUAUGUUUAUGAUAUUUAUAUUUCAGCGUCCCUCCCCACCCCCAAAUGUUGACUAUCCAUUAGAUGGAGAGAAGAUUUUACAUAUCCUUGGAUCAAUCAGAGAUUCAGUUGUGGAAAUUCUUUUUGAACAAGAUAAUGAAGAGCAAUCAGUUGCCACUUUAAUAUUGGAUUCCCUUAUACAGUGUCCGAUAGACACCAGGAAGCAACUAGCAGAGAAUUUGGUAG
rnacentral:sRNA from 1 species